AUUGCACGCUGGCGGCAGGCUUAACACAUGCAAGUCGAACGAGUGGCGGACGGGUGAGUAAUGCUUGGGAAUCUGGCUUAUGGAGGGGGAUAACGACGGGAAACUGUCGCUAAUACCGCGUACCAUAGGAUGAGCCCAAGUGGGCGUAGGUAGUUGGUGGGGUAAUGGCCUACCAAGCCGACGAUCUCUAGCUGGUCUGAGAGGAUGACCAGCAACACCGGGACUGAGAAACGGGCCGGAGUCCUACGGGAGGCAGCAGGGGGGAAUAUUGCGCAAUGGGGGCAACCUGACGCAGCCAUGCCGCGUGAGUGAAGAAGGCCUUCGGGUUGUAAAGUGCGUUCGGUGACGAGGCGUUAAUCACAGAAGAAGCACCGGCUAACUCCGUGCCAGCCGACGCGGUAAUAC
rnacentral:rRNA from 1 species